GAUGAACGCUGACAGAAUGCUUAACACAUGCAAGUCCACUUGAACUUCGGUUUGGGUGGCGGACGGGUGAGUAACGCGUAAAGAACUUGCCUCACAGCUAGGGACAACAUUUGGAAACGAAUGCUAAUACCUGAUAUUAUGAUUAUAUGGCAUCGUAUAAUUAUGAAAGCUAUAUGCGCUGUGAGAGAGCUUUGCGUCCCAUUAGCUAGUUGGAGAGGUAACAGCUCACCAAGGCGAUGAUGGGUAGCCGGCCUGAGAGGGUGAUCGGCCACAAGGGGAAGGAGACACGGCCCUUACUCCUACGGGAGGCAGCAGUGGGGAAUAUUGGACAAUGGACCGAGAGUCUGAUCCAGCAAUUCUGUGUGCACGAUGAAGUUUUUCGGAAUGUAAAGUGCUUUCAGUUGGGAAGAAAAAAAUGACGGUACCAACAGAAGAAGUGACGGCUAAAUACGUG
rnacentral:rRNA from 1 species